GGAAAACUCUUUAUAUUGAAUCCACAUCUGUUUCUUUACAGUUUGCACUCAUUGGAGCUGUACAGAAUAAAAUGUCUAACACUGCUUCCACAAAUAUUUGAGGACUGCUAAUAUAUUUCCUUCUUCCACUCACUCCACAAGGCUCCUUUUCUUCAAACUAAACAUGCCUGUUAUUUCAAACAGGGAGGCAGUGUGGGGCAGUGGAAAGAACAUCAGCUCUGGAGCCAGACACAU
rnacentral:lncRNA from 1 species